GAUGAACGCUGGCGGCGUGCUUAACACAUGCAAGUCGAACGAAGCACUUUAUUUGAUUUCCUUCGGGACUGAUUAUUUUGUGACUGAGUGGCGGACGGGUGAGUAACGCGUGGGUAACCUGCCUUGUACAGGGGGAUAACAGUUGGAAACGGCUGCUAAUACCGCAUAAGCGCACGGCAUCGCAUGAUGCCGUGUGAAAAACUCGGGUUGUAUAAGAUGUACCUGCGUUGGAUUAGCUAGUUGGUGAGGUAACGGCCCACCAAGGCGACGAUCCAUAGCCGAGCAGAGAGGGUGAGCGGCGACAUUGGGACGAAGACACGGUCGGAACUCCUACGGGAGGCAGGAGUGGGGAAUAUAGCACAAUGGGCGAAAGGAUGAUGGAGCGACGACGCGUGAGCGAAGAAGUAUGGCAGGAAGUAAAGCGCUAGCAGCAGGGAAGAUAAUGACGGUACCUAACUAAGAAGCACCGGCUAAAUACGUG
rnacentral:rRNA from 1 species